GCCGGGGUGGCGAAAUUGGCAUACGCGAGAGACUUAAAAUCUCUUGAUGGUAACUCCAUCGUGCGGGUCCGAGUCCCGCCCCCGGCA
rnacentral:tRNA from 1 species